GAUGAACGCUGGCGGCGUGCCUAAUACAUGCAAGUCGAGCGAACAGACGAGGAGCUUGCUCCUCUGACGUUAGCGGCGGACGGGUGAGUAACACGUGGAUAACCUACCUAUAAGACUGGGAUAACUUCGGGAAACCGGAGCUAAUACCGGAUAAUAUUUUGAACCGCAUGGUUCAAUAGUGAAAGACGGUUUUGCUGUCACUUAUAGAUGGAUCCGCGCCGCAUUAGCUAGUUGGUAAGGUAACGGCUUACCAAGGCAACGAUGCGUAGCCGACCUGAGAGGGUGAUAGGCCACACUGGAACUGAGACACGGUCCAGACUCCUACGGGAGGCAGCAGUAGGGAAUCUUCCGCAAUGGGCGAAAGCCUGACGGAGCAACGCCGAGUGAGUGAUGAAGGUCUUCGGAUCGUAAAACUCUGUUAUUAGGGAAGAACAAAUGUGUAAGUAAAUAUGCACGUCUUGACGGUACCUAAUCAGAAAGCCACGGCUAACUACGUG
rnacentral:rRNA from 1 species